UAACAAGUAAAUAGCAUUAACAUUUUUGUCUUCAAAGGCCUCAAAUUACGAUUUAGCUUUAGGCCCCGUACUCCAUCGAGCCGCUACUGGGUGGUGUUCAGAUUUUCAGAGUCAAAGAAGUGUUUCUUUCAAUUUUUAGUUCAUCCUUCCCAAUUUAUGUGAUGAUAUUCAGUAGGGGUGUUCAAACCGAACCGAAAAAUCGCACCAAAUCGAAAAAUCAAACCAACCCGAUUAAAAAAUCCGAAUAGGUUUGGUUUGAAUUGAUUUGGUAUUGAGUAAAAAACCCGAACCAAA
rnacentral:lncRNA from 1 species